ACUCCUACGGGAGGCAGCAGUGGGGAAUAUUGCACAAUGGGGCGGAAGCCUGAUGCAGCAACGCCGCGUGCGGGAUGACGGCCUUCGGGUUGUAAACCGCUUUCGCCUGUGACGAAGCGUGAGUGACGGUAAUGGGUAAAGAAGCACCGGCUAACUACGUGCCAGCAGCCGCGGUGAUACGUAGGGUGCGAGCGUUGUCCGGAUUUAUUGGGCGUAAAGGGCUCGUAGGUGGUUGAUCGCGUCGGAAGUGUAAUCUUGGGGCUUAACCCUGAGCGUGCUUUCGAUACGGGUUGACUUGAGGAAGGUAGGGGAGAAUGGAAUUCCUGGUGGAGCGGUGGAAUGCGCAGAUAUCAGGAGGAACACCAGUGGCGAAGGCGGUUCUCUGGGCCUUUCCUGACGCUGAGGAGCGAAAGCGUGGGGGAGCGAACAGGCUUAGAUACCCUGGUAGGCUC
rnacentral:rRNA from 1 species